rfam:Alligator mississippiensis ScZkoYb_366, whole genome shotgun sequence.
UAACAGGUUUUUUUAGAAACCAUCUAUCAUUAUUUUUUAUUUAUUU